rnacentral:rRNA from 1 species
AGGACCAUCUCCCAAGGCUAAAUACUCCCUAGUGACCGAUAGUGAACCAGUACCGUGAGGGAAAGGUGAAAAGCACCCCGGAAGGGGAGUGAAACAGUUCCUGAAACCGUGUGCCUACAAGUAGUUAGAGCCCGUUAAUGGGUGAUAGCGUGCCUUUUGUAGAAUGAACCGGCGAGUUACGAUUUGUUGCAAGGUUAAGCGGAAAAAGCGGAGCCGUAGCGAAAGCGAGUCUGAAUAGGGCGCAUAAGUAACAGGUCGUAGACCCGAAACCAGGUGAUCUACCCAUGUCCAGGAUGAAGGUAAGGUAAUACUUACUGGAGGUCCGAACCCACGCACGUUGAAAAGUGCGGGGAUGAGGUGUGGGUAGCGGAGAAAUUCCAAUCGAACUUGGAGAUAGCUGGUUCUCUCCGAAAUAGCUUUAGGGCUAGCCUCGAGGUAAAGAGUCAUGGAGGUAGAGCACUGUUUGGACUAGGGGCCCUUCUCGGGUUACCGAAUUCAGAUAAACUCCGAAUGCCAUGUACUUAUACUCGGGAGUCAGACUGCGAGUGAUAAGAUCCGUAGUCGAAAGGGAAACAGCC